rnacentral:rRNA from 1 species
UACGGAGGGUGCUAGCGUUGUUCGGAAUCACUGGGCGUAAAGGGCGCGUAGGCGGCCAUUCAAGUCGGAGGUGAAAGCCCAGGGCUCAACCCUGGAAUUGCCUUCGAUACUGUCUGGCUAGAGACCGGAAGAGGUAAGUGGAACUGCGAGUGUAGAGGUGAAAUUCGUAGAUAUUCGCAAGAACACCAGUGGCGAAGGCGGCUUACUGGUCCGGUUCUGACGCUGAGGCGCGAAAGCGUGGGGAGCAAACAGG